ACUGAAGUAUGGCAUAGGUACAAAGAAGCCAGCAUCUCAAA
rfam:Sus scrofa isolate TJ Tabasco breed Duroc chromosome 13, whole genome shotgun sequence.